rnacentral:lncRNA from 1 species
CUGAGCCGUGCCUGGUUAGCCUCAGGGAAGGCUCCAGCCUGGGGAACGUGGAAGGUGGUCUUUAUUGGCUUGCCAGAAUCUCUGUGUGGAGUCACACCCACCAUUCCUUCUCCGAAAGGGACAGAAAAACAGACCCACUAUGGCCCGUGCAAUAUGGUAAACAGAUGUCUGCCUCACGCAGCUGAAUGAGUUGGCUUUCCAGAGACAUAAAGGUAGCAGAAGAUAUCUUGGGAAGAGUUGGGAGAGGAAGCUCACAAACCAUGCAUUGCUACCCCUCCAGGACGGGGAUUAAAAUAUAGUUCUGUGCCACCCACCAGUAACUCCCUCUAGUUCAAGAUCCAGGUGCAAGAGAAUGUCAUUCAAGAACCAAUAUCCACCAGCCUCCUAGCAACUGUUGACAUCCACCUUUCCCUGGUCUCACCCUUUUCCUGAGUUGAUCUCACCAACCUGUGAGACAGCCAAGGGCUUUUUCCUUGUCCUGGAGUCAGCUGAAUAUACAGAUGCCUGUACUUGUGCCAAAGCAUCUUUAUGAUACUUGUGGUCCACCUGCUCUUUGUUCAUCAACUUCUGGACACACGUGCCCAGCCUGCAGUUCCAGAGAUGUGUGUGAAGGAGGAUUUAAACGAGUUCACAUUUAUGGGCUCUGAGAAAAAGAACGAACCAGUAUCGCCACAUUUGGCUGCCAAUUGUAAGCUGUCUUUAUGGGAAACCAGACUGGCCUGUACAGCAUUCAUCGAGAACCCCUCCAAAACGAUCACUGAAGAUCUUAUGCUUACUCAAGGCUUUGGCAUUGCAAUGCCCCUAAGACCUUCGACUCUAGACCCUACCACAGGUAACGGGAAGGAAACCCUGAACUGAGGUUGAACUUCUACUACCUGGCAGAGUGGAAGCUCAACACUGAAAUUAAAUUUGGUCAUAGACACAAAUAUUACUUGUGCACUUGAGUUUAUGGACUGAGAGAUUUAUCUCUCAGAGAUUUGAACUUUAUUUAGCAGAAAAUAGGGAGUUAAGUAUGGCAAGUGACAUGUUAAAUAUUUAUUUUACAAAAGUCACUUUAGCGGCAGUGUGGAAAAUAAAACAAAAAGGGGUGAGACUUGAGGAGGGGAG